UGGCGUCCCUAUUGUUUGAACCUCAACAC
rnacentral:piRNA from 1 species